rnacentral:misc_RNA from 1 species
UCGAACCUGCACAGCAGACGACCCGCGAACUCGUUAUCAAUUCGGUGGAACGGGGGGCUUUCGGGCCCGUCGUCCCCCUCCGCUCGAGGGCAGGGGCACCCGCCCAGGCCCGAAGGCAAAACAACGAACCCCGGCGCGGACCGCGCCAAGGAAACCUAAACGAAGCAGCGCGCUCCCGUCGCCCCGUUCGCGGCGCGCGGUCGGGAUGCGACGUCUUCUUUUGUAUCCAAAACGACUCUCGGCAACGGAUAUCUCGGCUCUCGCAUCGAUGAAGAACGUAGCGAAAUGCGAUACUUGGUGUGAAUUGCAGAAUCCCGUGAACCAUCGAGUCUUUGAACGCAAGUUGCGCCCGAAGCCAUUAGGCCGAGGGCACGUCUGCCUGGGCGUCACGCGCUCCGUCGCCCCUCAACCCCCAAACCCGCUCGCGGGCAACGGGGUGUUUGCAGGGCGGUGAAUGGCCUCCCGCGCGCCCUCUCUCGCGGUUGGCCUAAAUUCGAGUCCCGGGCGCCGAGCGCCACGGCCGACGGUGGUUGAGAAGCCCUCGAAAGAAAGCCGUGGUCGUUCCGCCGAGUCGGGACUCCGUGACCCAAGCGCGUCGGCCCGAAAGGAAGGCGCUUCCACCUGCGACCCCAGGUCAGGC